AGAUAGCAUAAAUUGUUUUGUUUUAAUAGUAUAUUAUUUGUUUCGUUUAUUUUUAUAAAAAAUAAAUCUAACUAAAAAAAUAAAGUAAUUAACUUUUGAAUUUGUAACUUUGGUUACCAAUCAUACCGAUCAUUAAAACUUUUGCCACUCAGUAUGGUUGGUAGAAUAAAUUUUUAUUAACAAAGCACGUGAAGAAAACAUGUUUCGUUAUUAAUAAAAUUUGUGAAUAUGCGAAUGCAUUUGAUUUUAC
rnacentral:lncRNA from 1 species